CAAGGCGGAGGGAACAUGUGGGUUUAAUUCGAUGAUACGCGAGGAACCUUACCCAGGCUCGAAACGCCGAAAGAAUACAGGGGAAAACUUUGUAGCCAGCAAUGGCGGUCGGCGAGGUGCUGCAUGGUUGUCGUCAGCUCGUGCCGUGAGGUGUCGGCUUAAGUGCCAUAACGAGCGCAACCCCUAUCGAUAGUUGCCAGCGGGUUAAGCCGGGAACUCUAUCGAGACUGCCAGCGCAAGCUGCGAGGAAGGCGGGGAUGACGUCAAAUCAGCACGGCCCUUACGUCUGGGGCGACACACGUGUUACAAUGGCCGGUACAGAGGGCAGCCACCCCGCGAGGGGGCGCGAAUCUCCAAAGCCGGUCGUAGUUCGGAUCGGAGGCUGAAACCCGCCUCCGUGAAGCUGGAUUCGCUAGUAAUCGCAUAUCAGCCAUGAUGCGGUGAAUACGUUCCCGGGUCUUAUACACACCGCCUACGGUAUGCAACUCAGCCAUGCCGCGUGCGGGAAGAAGGCGCUACGCGUCGUAAACCGCUUUUGUCUGGGGGUAACCGCAGGGACGUGUCCCUGCCUGCAAGUACCAGACGAAUAAGGGUCGGCUAACUCCGUGCCAGCAGCCGCGGUAAUACGGAGGACCCGAGCGUUAUCCGGAUUCAUUGGGUUUAAAGGGUGCGUAGGCGGCCCGGUCAGUCAGCGGUGAAAUGCCCGCGCUUCACGCGGGAGCUGCCGUUGAUACUGCCGGGCUAGAAUCUUAGCGAGGCGGGCGGAAUGCGCAGUGUAGCGGUGAAAUGCAUAGAUAUUGCGCAGAACGCCGAUUGGGGAGCCAGCUCGCCAGCUGAGUAUUGACGCUGAGGCACGAAAGCGUGGGGAUCAAACAGGAUUAGAUACCCUGGAAGUCCACGCCGUAAACGAUGAUAACUCGCUCUUGGUCCGGCAGGAUCUGGGGCUUAGCGAAAGCGUUUAAGUU
rnacentral:rRNA from 1 species